GGGCUCGUAGCUCAGCUUGGACUAGAGCGUUCGACUGAUAAUCGAAAGGCCCUGGGUUCAAAUCCCAGCGGGCCCA
rnacentral:tRNA from 1 species